ensembl:lncRNA
AAACGGGCCCUGAGUUGAGAUUCUCUGGAGGUUCUGGAAGUGAGACUGAGUAUAGCGUCUCUGAGGGUGAGACUCAGAUGUUUAACACAAAGGACGUGGGGUUUGUUCAAGACACUGUUAUGAGAGAACUUUUGGUCAUAAUUACACGCGUUAAAUUGAACGACGAGAUUCAAAGUGCGGGCUGAUCCCCUGGAGACGAGGUGCCAGUGCGACGUGUCACAGAGAGACCUGUUUGCCUACGGUGGCUGUGGACCUGCAGACAAAAGCGCUCCCUUGAGUCCCGGCCCAAGCAUCCCUCAGCCUACGCAUUAGCCGGCUCUCCCUCCACCCAGGCUUAAUCUGCUGGCCGCUCAGACCGGGCCUUCGUACCCUGGGAGUGUCUUGCUGCCUCUAAAGACGGGCGUUCCUUCAGCGCCCUGCACCUGUGUUAAGUGAAGUUAUUGGAAAGAAAUGAAGAGCUUGUUGAAGGUUACGCUACUAAAACGGACGAUUAGCCUUGGUGUGUGUAUAUAUAGAGUGAAUUAAGUGUAGGGCUGUAGCCUACAUGUUAGCCCUGCCUAACAUCUAGAUUAUGUUUCAUC